rnacentral:rRNA from 12 species
UGAGGUGUAGUAUAAGUGGGAGCUCCGGCGCACAUGAAAUACCACUACUCGUAAUGUUGUUUUACUUAUUCCGUGACGUAGCGUCCAGUGCCCUCGCGGGCCCUGGUUCUGGACCCAAACCUUUUGGUGAGCUACGCGGGAGACAACGUCAGGUGGGGAGUUUGGCUGGGGCGGCACAUCUGUUAAAGAAUAACACAGGUGU